rnacentral:lncRNA from 1 species
CGUCAAGCUCACGAUGGUUUUCGUCGCUGUUUGCAUGGGCAACGGGCAACGGGCAACCGCCGGCAGCCUUCGAAACAUUCUCAGUUCAGCGCACCGCUUCAUGCCUUCUCAGUUUUUUCGCAUCAGUCUGUAAAACUUCACGUGAAAGUUGACAACGGUGAAUGAUUUUUCCGUUUUGGCCAGGUCACUAGUAGUUUGAUUCUCUUGUACCCUGAGGGUGUUGCCACAGCUUCGAUUAAAACCUGGUUUGAAGAAUGUGAGUAUUAGUGGUGCUGGGAUUCGUCAAUGUCAUGUGUCCACCUACCGACCAUUCAUAGCAGGGCAACUAUGAAUCCAUUCUGGCACUCAGAAAGUUGUGUUUUAGAUGUUGCAGUGGUCAAUGUUAUUAAGACCAUUCUACUGACUUGGCCAAAUCUCACAAUCACUUAUUUACAUUAUAGAAAUUUCUUUACUUUAUCUCUGUUUUUAGGUGUUGAGAGGAGGAAGGGUUGGUAGUAGUAGUUUAUUGUUCCAUCUACUAAUAUAAAUACCCGUAAUUUAUGUAUGCAUGAGCAAGUAUGCAUGUAGAAUCAUUUUAGCUGUUGGAAUGCUCACAGGCAUGUAGGAUUAACACAUGGAGCAGCCUGACAGUAUAUGACAGGCUUUUGCUACCCUUGAUAUGGAGAAGCACUAUGUCAAGGAGAAGCUCGGCAGUGUUCUGAUUUUGCUGGCUGUGGGACUGUGGACAGAUGCAUUUGGAGGCCUCUUCCAAUCAUGUAUUAAGUGCUCCACCCUGUAGCUAUCAUUGUGCAGGUUGUGGUCUCAGCCUUGUGUUGCAUUUCUCUUUAUAAUACAUUUUAGGGAUUCUGACACGUGCAAUGGCUAGAGGAUCCUAACAAAGCAGUGUGCAGGUUUUUCACUCAAUAAUUAAUAAACAGAUGUAUGCUUUCCACCACUUUUAAACUGAGACCACAAAUUCAAGUCGUGCUGAAGUCCCAGUUUCAAUUUUGAACUAUCACAUCAAGAAUCAUUUGCAAGCCAGUAUGUUGGCAGAUCAGCCUGUAAUCUUCCCUUGAGAGAAAGAGAAAACUUGACUAAUAUUGUCAUCCAUGUGAUUUUAGCUGUGGCAGCCCUCAUUUCAAGCCAUUGAUCUGGUUGCAAACUAAGUUUUGGAAAGUAAAUCUACACAUCAGUAAACCACCUUGCAUUGUUCCUGAGGACUUUUCCUUGGUUCCGCUUCAUCUCCCUGUAAACAGUAUGAUAAUAGUAUGUGAUUGUGUUUGCCAGAAAUGGUUCUAAGCUGUGCCUCUGAGACUCCAUGACUGUACCAGUGGCACAGAUUCAGAGUGGCCCAUGUUGAGCAAGCACAAGGUCCCUGACCCACUCAUGUGAGGAAAGUACUGCCACCAACUAAAUUGUCCUCCAAUGGGACAAAUAUUGUGGUCAUCAGCAUCUAAGUAGACCGAAAAAUGAACAAAAACUCUCUGAGUCUGCUAUCCCUUAUACUUCACGUCCUGUUCUCUUUUCGAUAUCAUCAAGAUUAGGUCACUCAAAAGCCCUUCAUAAGUUAAGCUUAUGAUUUAUAUUCAAAGGAAACAUGGUCACACAUGAACCAUAUCCCAAUAUAUUUAGAUAUCCCAAUUGGAGGUCUACAGAUUUGUGUGUAGCCGUUCCAACAAAUCACAGAAGAGAUGCCUGACAGCAUUAAUUUCUUCGACAUCUUCAGCUCUUGUUUUGUCAUCAGAAACGAAAACAUGCUAUCAAACGUGAACACCGUCCACUGCGUUCCAUGGUGAAACUGAAGCGGUCUAUUUGAAAGAUUUUAAUAAUUAAAUUUCACAUUCUAGAACUACCAAAGGAUAAAUAAUGUAACAAAACCGUUGUAAACUUUCAUUUUUUAAAAAAAACAAAACAUGAGCGAAAAAAGGAGUAUCUAAAGAAAUGGAUGGACAAAAAUGAAUCACGACACCCUAAUCUUAGGUUAAAUGCACCCUGAACAAUACACACAUAAACUUAUCGAGUUUUAGUAUGAAGUGUG